rnacentral:misc_RNA from 1 species
UUCACUGCUAUGUGAAUUAGCCCCUGUUAAAGUAGUUUCAUCCACAGGCUGAUUCUUGUUAAUAGCCACAUCCUGGUUAGCCUUCUCCAGAUGCUUUCCAUUGGUUGAGGUAGAGACUAUAACAUACAUGGAAAUUGCAAUUGAUUUCUUUUUUGGGUGCCAUGGAUGAGAAUUGAUCAUUCCACCACCACUAUCAAUUAUUUUAAGAAAUGCAUCCUUGGUUAAGAAAAACAUGACUUCCUCUGCAGGAUUUGCUACAAUAUUAGUUUCCUUUGGACUUUUU